GAUGAACGCUGGCGGCGUGCCUAAUACAUGCAAGUCGAGCGAACAGAUAAGGAGCUUGCUCCUUUGACGUUAGCGGCGGACGGGUGAGUAACACGUGGGUAACCUACCUAUAAGACUGGAAUAACUCCGGGAAACCGGGGCUAAUGCCGGAUAACAUUUAGGACCGCAUGGUUCUAAAGUGAAAGAUGGUUUUGCUAUCACUUAUAGAUGGACCCGCGCCGUAUUAGCUAGUUGGUAAGGUAACGGCUUACCAAGGCAACGAUACGUAGCCGACCUGAGAGGGUGAUCGGCCACACUGGAACUGAGACACGGUCCAGACUCCUACGGGAGGCAGCAGUAGGGAAUCUUCCGCAAUGGGCGAAAGCCUGACGGAGCAACGCCGCGUGAGUGAUGAAGGUCUUCGGAUCGUAAAACUCUGUUAUUAGGGAAGAACAAAUGUGUAAGUAACUGUGCACGUCUUGACGGUACCUAAUCAGAAAGCCACGGCUAACUACGUG
rnacentral:rRNA from 1 species